AAGGAUAUAGUUCAGUGGUAGAGCCCAUGCUUAGCAUGCAUGAGGUCCUGGGUGCAGUCCCCAGUAUCUCCA
rnacentral:tRNA from 1 species